rnacentral:rRNA from 1 species
AGAGUUUGAUGGUGGCUCAGGACGAACGCUGGCGGCGUUCUUAAUACAUGCAAGUCGAACGAGGGCCCAGAGCUUGCUCUGGAGACCCGAGUGGCGAACGGGCGAGUAACACGUGACCAACCUGUCCUAGGGCGAGGGACAACCCGGGGAAACCUGGGCUAAUACCACAUGAUGUCAUCGGAUCGCAUGGUCUGAUGAUCAAAGGGGGCCUCUGCUUGCAAGCUCCUGCCCAAGGAGGGGGUCGCGACGUAUCAGCUUGUUGGUGGGGUAACGGCCUACCAAGGCUACGACGCGUAGCGGAUCUGAGAGGAUGAUCCGUCACAUUGGGACUGAGAUACGGCCCAGACUCCUACGGGAGGCAGCAGUAGGGAAUAUUGCGCAAUGGGCGAAAGCCUGACGCAGCGACGCCGCGUGUGGGAGGAAGCCUUUCGGGGUGUAAACCACUGUCAGAGGGGAAGAACUCCGCCGUUUCGAAUAGGAUCGGCGACUGACGGUACCCUCAGAGGAAGCGCCGGCUAACUCCGUGCCAGCAGCCGCGGUAAGACGGAGGGCGCAAGCGUUGUUCGGAAUUACUGGGCGUAAAGCGCGGGCAGGUGGUUCGUUAAGUCGUUUGUGAAAAUCCGGGGCUCAACCCCGCGAAAUGCAAGCGAUACUGGCGAGCUGGAGAUCGGUAGAGGCUAGCGGAAUUCCUGGUGUAGCGGUGGAAUGCGUA